rnacentral:rRNA from 1 species
GCAUAUCCAAUAAGCGGAGGAAAAGAAACCAACUGGGAUUGCCUUAGUAACGGCGAGUGAAGCGGCAAAAGCUCAAAUUUGAAAUCUGGUACCUUUGGUGCCCGAGUUGUAAUUUGGAGAGUACCACUUUGGGACUGUACUUUGCCUAUGUUCCUUGGAACAGGACGUCAUGGAGGGUGAGAAUCCCGUGUGGCGAGGGUGUCAGUUCUUUGUAAAGGGUGCUCGAAGAGUCGAGUUGUUUGGGAAUGCAGCUCUAAGUGGGUGGUAAAUUCCAUCUAAAGCUAAAUACAGGCGAGAGACCGAUAGCGAACAAGUACAGUGAUGGAAAGAUGAAAAGAACUUUGAAAAGAGAGUGAAAAAGUACGUGAAAUUGUUGAAAGGGAAGGGCAUUUGAUCAGACAUGGUGUUUUGCGCCCCUUGCCUCUCGUGGGCUUGGGACUCUCGCAGCUCACUGGGCCAGCAUCGGUUUUGGCGGCCGGAAAAAACCUAGGGAAUGUGGCUCUGCGCCUCGGUGUAGAGUGUUAUAGCCCUGGGGAAUACGGCCAGUCGGGACCGAGGACUGCGAUACUUGUUAUCUAGGAUGCUGGCAUAAUGGUUAUAUGCCGCCCGUCUUGAAUACACGGAACCA